AAUCAACGCUGGCGGCGUGCCUCAGACAUGCAAGUCGAACGCGAAAGUUCCCUUCGGGGAGCGAGUAGAGUGGCGUACGGGUGAGUAACACGUAGGUAAUCUACCUUUGGGUGGGGAAUAACAGCCGGAAACGGCUGCUAAUACCGCAUAAUGCAGCGGCUCGACAUCGAGACAGUUGUUAAAGCGGGGGAUCGCAAGACCUCGCGCCUAAAGAGGAGCCUGCGGCGGAUUAGCUAGUUGGUGAGGUAAUGGCUCACCAAGGCAUCGAUCCGUAGCCGGCCUGAGAGGGCGGUCGGCCACACUGACACUGACAUACGGGUCAGACUCCUAC
rnacentral:rRNA from 1 species